rnacentral:rRNA from 1 species
GAUGAACGCUGGCGGCGUGCCUAAUACAUGCAAGUCGAGCGAACGGACGAGAAGCUUGCUUCUCUGAUGUUAGCGGCGGACGGGUGAGUAACACGUGGAUAACCUACCUAUAAGACUGGGAUAACUUCGGGAAACCGGAGCUAAUGCCGGAUAAUAUUUUGAACCGCAUGGUUCAAAAGUGAAAGACGGUCUUGCUGUCACUUAUAGAUGGAUCCGCGCUGCAUUAGCUAGUUGGUAAGGUAACGGCUUACCAAGGCAACGAUGCAUAGCCGACCUGAGAGGGGAAUCGGCACACCGGGAACCGAGAAACAGUACAGACUCCUAGGGGGGGCAGCAGGAGGGAAUCUUCCGCAAUGGGCGAAAGCCUGACGGAGCAACGCCGCGGGGGGUAUAAAGGUCUUGGUAUUGUAAAACUUUGUUAUUAGGGAAAAAAAUAUGUGUAAGUAACGGUGCACAUCUUGAAGGUACCUAAGAAGAAAGCCACGGUUAACUACGU